UGCCCCAUGGCUGAGUUGGUUACAGCGUCCGACUGUUAAGAAUCUUGUUGAUUUCUAAAUGUGAUCGGAAGGUCGUGAGUUCGAGCCUCACUGGGGCAG